CUAAAUCAUCAGGUAGUAAUAGAUUACUCUGGUACAUCAGGUAGUAAUAGAUUACUCUGGUACAUCAGGUAGUAAUAGAUUACUCUGGUACACCAGGUGGUAAUAGAUUACUCUGGUUCAUCAGGUAGUAAUAGAUUACUCUGGUACAUCAGGGAGUAACAGAUGAACAACUUCCAUGAAAGUGAACAGGAUUCACCGUU